rnacentral:rRNA from 1 species
AGUCGAGGGGCAGCAUGGGCUUAGCUUGCUAAGCCCGAUGGCGACCGGCGCACGGGUGAGUAACACGUAUCCAACCUUCCGGUAACUCCGGUAUAGCCUUUCGAAAGAAAGAUUAAUCCCGGAUAGUAUGGUGAUUCCGCAUGGUUUCUCCAUUAAAGGAUUCCGGUUACCGAUGGGGAUGCGUUCCAUUAGGCAGUUGGCGGGGUAACGGCCCACCAAACCUACGAUGGAUAGGGGUUCUGAGAGGAAGGUCCCCCACAUUGGAACUGAGACACGGUCCAAACUCCUACGGGAGGCAGCAGUGAGGAAUAUUGGUCAAUGGGCGGAAGCCUGAACCAGCCAAGUAGCGUGAAGGAUGACUGCCCUAUGGGUUGUAAACUUCUUUUAUAAGGGAAUAAUUGUGGGUACGCGUACCCAUUUGCAUGUACCUUAUGAAUAAGGAUCGGCUAACUCCGUGCCAGCAGCCGCGGUAAUACGGAGGAUCCGAGCGUUAUCCGGAUUUAUUGGGUUUAAAGGGAGCGUAGGCGGGCGCUUAAGUCAGCUGUGAAAGUUUGGGGCUCAACCUUAAAAUUGCAGUUGAUACUGGGUGCCUUGAGUGCAGUAUAGGCAGGCGGAAUUCGUGGUGUAGCGGUGAAAUGCUUAGAUAUCACGAAGAACUCCUAUUGCGAAGGCAGCUUGCUGGAGUGUAACUGACGCUGAUGCUCGAAAGUGUGGGUAUCAAACAGGAUUAGAUACCCUGGUAGUCCACACAGUAAACGAUGAAUACUCGCUGUUUGCGAUAUAGGGCAAGCGGCCAAGCGAAAGCGUUAAGUAUUCCACCUGGGGAGUACGCCGGCAACGGUGAAACUCAAAGGAAUUGACGGGGGCCCGCACAAGCGGAGGAACAUGUGGUUUAAUUCGAUGAUACGCGAGGAACCUUACCCGGGCUUGAAUUGCAACCGAAUUAUCCGGAAACGGGUAAGCCGCAAGGCGGUUGUGAAGGUGCUGCAUGGUUGUCGUCAGCUCGUGCCGUGAGGUGUCGGCUUAAGUGCCAUAACGAGCGCAACCCUUAUCCACAGUUACCAUCAGGUGAUGCUGGGGACUCUGUGAGAGACUGCCGUCGUAAGAUGCGAGGAAGGGGGGGAUGACGUCAAAUCAGCACGGCCCUUACGUCCGGGGCUACACACGUGUUACAAUGGGGGGUACAGCAGGCAGCUCGGCGGCGACGCCCGGCCAAUCCCUAAAUCCCCUCUCAGUUCGGACUGGAGUCUGCAACCCGACUCCACGAAGCUGGAUUCGCUAGUAAUCGCGCAUCAGCCACGGCGCGGUGAAUACGUUCCCGGGCCUUGUACACACCGCCCGUCAAGCCAUGAAAGCCGGGGGUACCUGAAGUGCGUAACCGU